rnacentral:rRNA from 1 species
AGCGAACGCUGGCGGCAGGCCUAACACAUGCAAGUCGAACGAACCUUUCGGGGUUAGUGGCGGACGGGUGAGUAACACGUGGGAACGUGCCUUUAGGUUCGGAAUAACUCAGGGAAACUUGUGCUAAUACCGAAUGUGCCCUUCGGGGGAAAGAUUUAUCGCCUUUAGAGCGGCCUGGGUCCGAUUAGCUAGUUGGUUGAGGUAAUGGCACACCAAGGCGACGAUCAGUAGCUGGUCGGAGAGGAUGAUCAGCCACAUUGGGACUGAGACACGGCCCACACUCCUACGGGAAGCAGCAGUGGGGAAUCUUGCGCAAUGGGCGAAAGCCUGACGCAGCCAUGCCGCGUGAAUGAUGAAGGUCUUAGGAUUGUAAAAUUCUUUCACCGGGGACGAUAAUGACGGUACCCGGAGAAGAAGCCCCGGCUAACUUCGUG